rnacentral:tRNA from 1 species
CAGAAAAUAGUUUAUAUAAAAUAUUAAUUUUGGAGAUUAAUGAAAAGUUAAUUCUUUUUUCUGA